GCUGGGCAUUGUGGCGCAUGCCUGUAAUCCUAUCGGCUGGGGAGGCUGAGGCAGGAGGAUCAGGAGUUCAAAGCCAGCCUCAG
rnacentral:sRNA from 1 species